ensembl:lncRNA
AUGGCAGCGCCCCAUGGCACAGCCCCAUCCUACAGCAUAGCACUGUCCCACAGCACGGCACCAUCCCCAUCCCAUGGCACAGCCCUGUCCCCAUCCCACGGCACAGCACCAUCCCCCAUCCCACAGCACUGCCCCAUGGCACAGCCCUGUCCCCAUCCCACAGCCCUGCCCCAUCCCCAUCCCAUGGCACAGCCCAGUCCCCAUCCCACAGCACAGCACCAUCCCCCAUCCCACAGCACAGCCCCAUGGCACAGCCUGGCACUGCCCCAUCCCCAUCCCAUAGUACUGCCCCAUCCCCAUCCCAUAGCAUUACCCCAUCCCCAUCCCAUAAUACUGCCCCAUCCCCACCCCACACCGCAGCACCCACCGGCGCAGCCGUCCCUCGAUGAUCCACUUGUUCUUCCUGUAGGCCGACAUGCUCUCCAGCGUCUUGUCAAUCUCACUGCAAGAACACGAGGUGGGGGGGGGGGGGCUCAGCACCAUUGGGUGGGGGGGGCACAGCCAGCACCCCCCCAGCUCUGCUCCCCCCUCUAUGCUCACCUGAUGAUGCGGGCGCUGCUGUUGAGCUCAUUGACCAGGAAGGCCAGGAUGGCAGCUUUGCGCUCCGGGAGCAGCGCCUGGAAGGGUUUGGUGCGCAGCCCCGUGCACAGCUCAGCCUCAGCCCCGUGUGCUGUCAGGAAGCAGCGCAGCACCUCCGAGACGGUGUCACGGUUCAGGCUGAUCUCUGACACCUUCUCACCCAGGAUCUUCAGGGACUGCGAGGAGAGAGAGGUGUUGGGAGGCAGCAGGAAAGGGACGACACGGGGAGGGCACCAAUGGGGGAGUCAACUCUUUGAAAGGGCAGAUUGCAGCAGGAUAAGGGGAAACGGUUUGAAGUUGAGGGAGAGAAGAUUGAGGUUGGAUGCCAGGGGGAGGUUCUUUACUAUGAGAGUGGGGAGGUGCUGGAACAGCUGCCCAGAGAGGCUGUGGAUGCCCCGUCCACCCCAAGGCCAGGUUGGAUGGAGCCUGGGCAGCCUGGGCUGGUGUUAAAUGGGGAGGUUGGUGGCCCUGCCUGUGGCAGGAGGGUUGGAGCUUCAUCAUCCUCGAGCUCCCUUCCAACCUGGGCCAUUCUAUGAUUCUGUGGCUGAUGGGAAAACCCAAAGCCUGGGGUGGGGUGUCCCCAGAUGGGGCUGCACUGUGGGCAGCACGUCCUGAAAUGCAGUGCUCACCCACCCCAAGCCUGCAGCAGCUGCAACCUCAGGGGCACCAAGGGCAUCAGGGCAGGGGAUGGGGGCACACAGAGACAAGGCAGGGCACAGACACAGAGCAGGGGCAGUACCUGGCAGUAGGGGGGCAGCCCAGGGUCGUAGAGCGCAGCCUGCAGCAGCCGCACCAGCAGGUCCUGCACUGCGCCGACGCUGCUGCCCACCCCCAGCAGCCCCUCCUGCAGCGUGCUCAGGCUGGGCACGUCCCUGCUGGGGUCGAAGCCCAGCACCUUGCCGUAGCUCUGCAGGAACUCCACCACCGUCAGGCAGUGGGAGAAGGCUCGGCUGGGCAGCACCAGGCCUGGGAUGCGCGAGAAGGUCGGCAGCGGCUGUGGGGCGAAACGGGGCGGUCAGGGCAGGGGAUGCGGGGUCAGACCCACCAGACCCCCUCCCCAUCCCAACCUGGUGGUCCGCCAGGCACAUGUCCUCCGUCGGCUUCUUCAUCUCCUCCAGGAUGAGCUGCUGCCGUCGCCGCUCCUCCAGGCGCCGCUGGGCCAGCAGCCCCUUGUCCACCCUGCGUGUCCCUUUGCCCUUCUUCUCCUUGGGCCGCCCCUUGUCCUUGCCCUUCUCCGCUUUGCCCUUCUUCUCCUUGGCCUGGAGACAGACCCCGGGGUGGGUGGCCCCUCCAGCUCCCUCCCUCCCUGCCCCACAGCUGCUGCGGACCCACCUUGGACUUCUUCUUGGCCUCCUUCGCUUUGGGAGCUUUCGCCUCCUGCUUCUGCUUGUUCUUGGCCUGAGGGGGAAUUAGAGCAGCUCAGCGACUGGCAGCAACAGGGGUACCCACUGGUCGGGGCAGGGGGCUGCUCUGUGCCCCGUGUCAGCCACCAAGAAGGAGGGGCCCUAGGGCUGCCCCCAGCCCUCCCCCAGCACCACUCAUACCUUCCGCCUCAUUUUCUUCUUGAUUUUGCUCAUUUUCAGCUUGUCCUCAUCACUGAGCACCUCUGCGAGAACGGAGGGGGUGGUUGGUGACGGGGAGCGGGCAGUGGGGCGGGCUGGGGGCCGGGGGGUACCUUGGGCCUCCAGCCUCUUCAGCAGCCGCGCGUCCGUUUUGCUCAGCAGAUCCACCAUCCGGACCUUGGGGGGCCGCCCGCGGCCGCGCUUCACGGCAGGCAGCUCUUUGGGCUUCGCCUUCUCGGCGUUGCGGGGUCGGCCACGCUUCCCGGUGAUGGCCUGGAUGCGGGACGGGAUCUCCUCGGGGCUCAGCUUCACCCACUGCAGACCCUGCAGGAGGAAACCCCGUCAGCCCCAAAGGGAGCGACCCAAAGCCCCACGGCCGCAGCAGCGUCACGCAGAGCAGGGCCGGGCCCUGCAGAGCACGGCGUGCUCACCUCCGGCGUGUCCCGCUCCUCAUAGAAGUCCCCCACCGGCAUUCGGGGGCUGAAGCUGAAGUGCUCGCGGCGGACGUCCUGCACCACAUUCCUGUUCAAGUACUGGGGGGCAGGAGGAGGAGAAUGAGAGACCCUGGUGGAGCCGGGGGGCUGCUCAGAGCCCGGCCCCCCCCAUCGUACCUUGAUCACCUCUGGGAACUGCUUCAUCCUCUUCCCACACGGCCCGUAGUACCACGUCUCUCCCUGCCAGCGGUGGUUCCCCCUUUUGAUGCGCACCUCUCUCCUCCACCUGCACACAGAGGGGGGCUCAGCCCGGGUCCUGCACAGCCCCGUGGGGUGUGGGUAUGGGGUCACACCACGUACCCGUGCUGCAGAGGGAAGCGCACCUCCUCGGGGGUGGCAAUGCGCCGGCGUGGGACAUCACCUGUGGGGCAGAGGAGGGAGCAGCUCAGGGGGUGUGGGGGGCACCCAGCUGGGGGGUGAGGGGGGGGGUUCCAUCCUCACCUCCCACCGAUGUGCUCAGCGGGGCGGCCUCCUCCUUGCUCUCUCCUUCUGGAGCAGCUGAAGCCUCCGUGCAGCUGUCAGCCACCUCCUCCUCCUCAUCCUCUUCUUCCUCCUCUUCCUCAGCAGAAGGACAUAGGGAUUCGGGCUCCAGUGCUGUGCUGAGCUCCAGAGACCCCGACUGCUCCGGCCCUGCGUGGCCGCUGCUCGGCUCUGGGCUGCUGUCUGCAGGGCCAAGGUCAGCACCAUCACCACGACUGCCAUCCCUUCCUGCUCCUUCCAUAGGAGCCCCCCCCCCAGCACUGAGUUGGGNGCGGGCAGGGGGGGGCUGGGCGCGUCGUCGGGGGGUUCCUCCAGGGGGGAUUUGUCGCCCACCAGCUGCGCCUCAUCCAUCGCAUAGAGGUCACCGGUGUCGGGGUCUGGGGGGGGGAACAGUGCAAACAGCUCAGUGGGGCAGCACAGGGGGGACUGCACGGGGGGCCCCCCAGCUCUGAACGCAUUGGGAGCACACACACCCACAUGGCCGCGGGGAUGACCGGCCCCCCCCCCAGUGGGCACCGGCAGGAGAGGGGUUAAGGGAGCUCGCAGCCCCCGGCCCCGCCCCCUCCGUUGGGAAGCGGAGCCCAAAAUGGCCGUAGCGGCGGCGGCGAUGUUCAGCAGCGCGGAAGUUCAGGCGCUGAGGAACAGCUUCGUCACUGCGCUGGGAAGGGAGGCCGGAGCGGAGGAGGGACGGAGCGGAGGAGGGACCGCGCGAUCCCGGCCCGCCCCUCCGCCAGAGCCGCGCAGCGCCGCGGCCGUCGCCAUCGCCCCAGAGGGCCGCGCUGCCCGCAGCCCCCCCCCAGCCCGCAGCCCCCUCCCCACCUCUGGCCAAGGCCUCGAAGGGCUCCAGGGGGUCUUCGCUCAGCAGCUGCGUGUCCUCCAGCGGUGCACCCAUAGGCGAUGCGGGCCCAAGGCUGGCGGCGGUCGGGGUCAGGCCUGGGCUGUCCCGGCCCAGCGGCACCGCGGCGGGCGCUGCGCCGUUGUAAGCACAGAGCUUCAGAUCUGCAGGGAGCAGAAAGCAGCGGGAACAAAGCUGGGAGCAGAGCGGGGGGCCCAGUGGGCACCAACCNGGGGGGGGGGGGGGGAGAGAUGGAGAUGUUAAUGGUGGGAAUUGCCCAACGUUGGGACAAGGAGGGUUUGGGGAUGGAUGGAGGACCGCCAUCACCCGCAGCCCUGCUGUAGGGCUGUGUGGGGAUCAGCUCACAGCCAAGCCCAUGCACAGCCCCUAACCUGGCCAUUUCAGGCUGGGGGCACACAGCAGACCCCACCAGGGACCACCCCACAGCUGUGCUUGGUGGCCCCCCAGCCCUCUGGCCCCAUGGGGACAGCCCAAUGCCUCGCACCAAGCACACGGAGCCAGGACCCCUCUGCUGCACGGCCCCCCGCCUGCCCCCCAUACUCACUUUUCCCCUGGGGGGGGAAGCUGAGCGCGGCCCCGUUGCUGUACGGGCUGUCCCCUGAGGAAGGCGUGGUGGGUUUCAGUCCUGAGGCAGUGGGUGCGGGGGGAAGACCCGCAAAGCCAAAAUGGUUAUCGGUGUCCAUGGCUGUGGGGGGGGGUGAGAGGUGAAGGGUUACGGUGGUGCCACGACCCCCAGGAUCAGCCCCACAACCGCUGCCGUGCCCCGGCGUGCCACGCUGUUGCACAGAGGGUUCCAUCACUCCCCACCCCAUCCCUGGGCUCCCAGCAUGGCACAGACCUGCAGGUCCCCCCCCCACAACGUGUCCAUGACCUUGCAGGGACGUGGCACAGCCUGCCCCCCCCCCCGGGAGCACCGCAGUUCCCGGUACCGUAGGGACGGCUGCUCCUCGGACCCCUCUCCACGCUCCCCCCCCAGCCCCCACCCCAACCCAUAGCCCAGCGGUGCCGGAGGGCACGCAGCCCCAUCCCCC